CAUUUCCAGACGCUGAAUCUCCCGGGGGACGGGAGAGCGGGGGAACCAGUCAGCGGCAACCGGACAAUGCGGAUUGCCGGCACCGCUGAAUCCGAUCGGGGUGAAUUGACCGGACGCGCGAUCCGAAGCGGCGAAAGGUCAUAGGGCGGCUCUCGGCCCGAACCCGUCAGCUAACUCCGCAGGCGUAUUUGAGAGUGAUC
rnacentral:sRNA from 2 species